UCCCUGGGCAUGGACUCCACAGCUGGAAUGGCAGGGGCCUGGCAGCUCUCAUUCAUGCUCCUUCUGUCAGCUCACCAUGUAUUGCUGAAUUUGUGUGGGAUGUAUUUGAGUUGAAUGGGAAUUCAUUGAGAGUAAAUAGAUGAAGACUAUUGGUGUGACCUCCCAGAGACAGAAUGGACCUCCCCCCAAAAAUAUUUGGUUCUAAUGGCAAGACUGCUGAUGCCACACAUGCACCAAGAGGAGAUGAAGAGGUUUACGACUCACAGAAUGUCGCUUUCUGGUGAAAGGAGGGAAAGCUACCACAAGUUCAAAGAAAAGAAGAGCCAGGACAUGACAACAUGCAAAUCGAUAUGACCUACAGAUGACCUAAAAUGUCUUCACUGACACCUGCUGGUAGGCUCUGGAAUUGCAGAAAGAGUGGCUAAGAAGUGUUACCUCUCCUGGAAGACAUCGCUUGGAAAUUCUAAUCCACUUCCACAAGCACAAUUAUUGAGCUUCAGAAUGAAGAGCCCUUUCAUGUGUAAUAGAUGGUGGGAAAGGAAAAGUUGAAAGUCUGCUGGGAGCAUUUAAAAUGGAUAUUGAAUCGGGAUCUACAGCAUCAGGAAGUCUGGCUGACAAAGGUGACAUUGUCUGGUUUUGAUUUAGCGUGGAUCGAGACGUAGGGGACUGCAAUCGGAAAUUACUGGAGAAAUUGUGUCCACAAGGUCUUUCAGCCUUUAAUCUGUGCCUUCAGUGUCUGUUUGUCUUGAGGAUAAGUGGCAUUUUACAGCUGUCAACUUUCCUACAUCAUCCAUCACGGAGUGAAGUGCUAAAUCAACUCUGAGCCUGUUCCUUUAACGUGGAAUUGACUGCAGCCAGUAGUGCAAAAUUAUGGGGGAAAAAAAAUCCACCAAAUGGGAUUUCAUUUUAAAAUGCAGAUCCUAUUUGAAGAGCUUCACAAAGGAGCACUGCCUCUGACAAGUGGAGAAAAAUCUACCCUUCAAA